AACGAACGCUGGCGGCGCGCCUAAUACAUGCAAGUCGAGCGAGAAGACGUAGCAAUACGUUUGUAAAGCGGCGAACGGGUGAGGAAUACAUGGGUAACCUACCCUCGAGUGGGGAAUAACUAGCCGAAAGGUUAGCUAAUACCGCGUACGCUCCUUGGACUUCGGUUCAGGGAGGAAAGCGAUACCGUGGGUAUCGCGCUCUUGGAUGGGCUCAUGUCCUAUCAGCUUGUUGGUGAGGAACGGCUCACCAAGGCUUCGACGGGUAGCUGGUCUGAGAGGACGAUCAGCCACACUGGCACUGCGACACGGGCCAGACUCCUACGGGAGCAGCAGUAAGGAAUAUUGCGCAAUGGGCGAAAGCCUGACGCAGCGACGCCGC
rnacentral:rRNA from 1 species